CCUACGGGUGGCUGCAGUGGGGAAUAUUGGACAAUGGGCGAAAGCCUGAUCCAGCCAUGCCGCGUGUGUGAAGAAGGCCUUCGGGUUGUAAAGCACUUUCAGUGGGGAAGAAAGCCUUGGGGCUAAUACCCUCGAGGAAGGACAUCACCCACAGAAGAAGCACCGGCUAACUCCGUGCCAGCAGCCGCGGUAAUACGGAGGGUGCGAGCGUUAAUCGGAAUUACUGGGCGUAAAGCGCGCGUAGGCGGUCUGAUAAGCCGGUUGUGAAAGCCCCGGGCUCAACCUGGGAACGGCAUCCGGAACUGUCAGGCUAGAGUGCAGGAGAGGAAGGUAGAAUUCCCGGUGUAGCGGUGAAAUGCGUAGAGAUCGGGAGGAAGACCAGUGGCGAAGGCGGCCUUCUGGACUGACACUGACGCUGAGGUGCGAAAGCGUGGGUAGCAAACAGGAUUAGAUACCCGAGUAGUC
rnacentral:rRNA from 1 species